rnacentral:SRP_RNA from 1 species
GCCGGGUGUGGUGGCUCACACCUGUAAUCCCAGCACUUUAGGAGGCUGAGGCAGGUGGAUCACCUGAGGUCAGGAGUUCAAAACCAGCCUGGCCAACAUGGCGAAACUCUGUCUCUA